AAAGCAACUUUGGGAGGUGGGUUUGAUCCAUUGUUGUUAAAUGGAAUGUAUGAUCAGGGAAUGGUGAGGCAACAUGUUGGCACUGCUCAACUGAGUGGAGGUAGUGCUAGUAGCGUGGCGUUACCAGGGCCUGGGAAUGGUACAACACCUGUUUUAGCUCUGCCAGCUCCAGAUGGAACAGUCCAGGCAGUUAAUCAGGACCCUUUCGCCGCAUCUCUGUGUGUUCCACCUCCCUCAUACGUCCAAAUGGCAGAUAUGGAGAAGAAACAACAAUUGCUUGUUCAGGAGCAGGUGACAUGGCAGCAAUAUGCCAGGGAUGGGAUGCAAGGUCAAACUAGUCUGGCCAAGAUCAGCGGUGGUGGUUACUACAAUGCAGGU
rnacentral:lncRNA from 1 species